GUAUUUUCCAUAGGUAGUAAGUCUUUGUCCUCAAAUUGGCUGGGUUGAAAUUGAUCCUGAUGUUCUCUGGCUUCAGUUUGUUGCUGUAAUAAAGGAAUCUGUCAAAGCUGCAGGAAUAGAGAUGAAUCAAAUUGUUGGACUUGGCAUUUCAACACAGAGAGCAACUUUUAUUACAUGGAACAAGAAAACGGGAGAUCAUUUUCACAACUUCAUUAGUUGGCAAGAUCUGAGAGCUAUUGAACUUGUAAAAUCUUGGAAUAGUUCUCUUAUAAUGAAGCUAAUACACAGUUCCUGCCGAAUGCUUCACUUUUUCACUAGAAGUAAACGAUUUUUAGCAGCCAGUUUGUUCACUUUCACAACCCAGCAUGUUUCUUUGAGAUUAGCCUGGAUUUUACAGAACCUGGUUGAGGUGCAAAAGGCAAUUGAAGAAGAAAAUUGCUGCUUUGGGACUAUUGAUACCUGGUUGUUACAUAAGCUCACAAAAGGUUCUGAAUUUGCCACGGAUUUUUCAAAUGCCAGUACCACUGGACUUUUUGACCCAUAUGAGAUGUGUUGGAGCAGCUUUAUUACUUCUCUGCUUUCAAUACCACUCUCUCUCCUGCCUCCCGUGAGGGAUACAAGCUUCAAUUUUGGAUCAGUGGAUGAAGAGAUAUUUGGUGUGCCUAUACCAAUAAUGGCCUUGGUGGCCGACCAGCAGGCAGCCAUGUUUGGAGAGUGCUGCUUCCAGAUGGGAGACGUGAAGCUGACCAUGGGGACUGGGACAUUUCUGGACAUCAAUACUGGAAGUAACCCUCAACAGAAUGUUGGAGGCUUUUAUCCGUUGAUUGGGUGGAAGAUUGGACAAGAGGUUGUAUGCAUAGCUGAAGGCAAUGCAGGAGACACUGGUACUGCCAUAAAAUGGGCUCAGCAAUUAGAUCUUUUCACAGAUGCUGCUGAGACUGAAAAAAUGGCCAGAAGUUUGGAAGAUUCUGAAGGGGUUUAUUUUGUUCCGUGUUUUAGUGGUUUGCAGGCUCCAUUAAAUGACCCCUGUGCUUGUGCCUCUUUUAUGGGUUUGAAGCCUUCCACUAGUAAAUACCAUCUUGUACGAGCAAUAUUGGAGUCCAUAGCUUUCAGAAACAAGCAGUUAUAUGAGGUGAUGCAGAAAGAGAUCCAUAUUCCUGUGACAAAAAUCCGGGCAGAUGGCGGAGUUUGUAAGAACAGUUUUGUCAUGCAGAUGACUUCAGACCUGAUUAAUGAGAAGAUAGACAGACCUGUUCACCUGGAUAUGUCGUGCCUUGGUGCAGCUUCUCUAGCUGGCCUUGCUGUUGGCUGGGGAAGAUAAUGGCUUGAUAGAUACAAGAUGGCUGUAAAUUGCCCACAUUGUUUGGCCUUGGUUUUAACUUUUGAUCUGGUGGAUUCCUCAAGAAGAGGAUUUGGGGCUUGAUCUUCAAGGCAUUGGAGAGCCACUGAAGACUCUGAGCAGGAGAGGCUCAUGGAUAGAUCUCCAUUUGAACAGAUCACUUUGGAAGGUUUUGGACUGACAAGGAGGAACUAAAGAAACUGAGACAAAGUGAAAUGGUUUUCAAGCCACAGAAGAAAUGGCAGGAAUAUGAAAUGAGUAUGGAAAACUGGGUGAAGGCAGUGAAACGCUCC